GUAGACUCAGGGUGAUGAUGCAACUAUCCAGCAGCCCAUAACCCACCCAUCUUCCUCCUGCAGAUCAAUCCAGCAGCUCAGCAACAUGGGUCCCAGACCACGAACAGCAAGAGGGAGCCCGCACAGGCUGUGAAAUGGGACAGGUGACAAAGCUACCCACUCAUUCUGGUUUGUGGCUCGUGUUGGCCCCAGCUAUGUCUGUUUUGCUUCAUGCAUAUUUCAGCUCACAAAGAUGCAAGCAUUAAACCCAAGCCCUCUACUGUGCACCUGAUCUUUAUCUUCGGAAAAAGGAAAUUAACGGGACUUUGAGACACACAAUCGGCAGGUUUACCCAUUGUAAACGCUUUCUUUGAGAAAGCAAAAUAAACCAGGCACUCGUCAGAGCCUUGAGCAGUGAGCACCGAGCUGGAGCCAUGAGGACUGUGGCACUCUGUGUGCUUGUUUCUAGUGUGAUACAGAACUGCUGCUUGAGGAGCAGCCAGUGCAGUGCAGAACUGGGUGGCGAAGUGAACACCUGGGAUGAGGGAGUGCGAAAUACCCCAGCCUCUGUCACCAGCCUCCUGCAGCUCAGACGGGCCGAUGCCAGAGGAGAGGGGCUCUCUGCUAAGGUCCCUCUGGUAAAAGCAAGUGAGGCAGCUCACAUGAGGGGAACCAGCUCCUCACCACAUCCUGGCCCCAGCCCAGAUUCAGGAGCCUCCUUUAGUUCCUCCGCCACGGGGAGGGCCCUGCCUGCAGGAGAAAUUUCUGCCCUGGCGUUGCCCUUGGAACAGGAAGGUGAAGGAAGUGGCACUGCAGCCCCAGCAGGGAGUUAUCCUGGAGUUAUCGAGCAUCCCUCAGGGAUCUGGAGCAAGGAAAUCCCCGCUCGCAACAGGAGCAAAGCGUAUUCUCUGCCUGCUGGGAACACUACAGGGAUGGUCCAAUUGUCCACCCGAAGGAAACAGGACAGUGCCACCCGGCCUCCAGUCACGACAGCAAGGUAACACAUAGAGGCCAGCUGCUUCCGUUCAUUACAUUAGCCUGCUGGUGCAUGUCAUUGUUCUGAUCUGAGGCCCAGACCCACAAUGCAAGUUAGACGCCCAAGUACCUUUGUGGAUCUGGGCCUGACUGCUGUACCUUUGCAGGCAGAAAUCUCCACCUGCUUCCAACUGGCUCCCUGUCCUGGAGAAACAUGACAUCCCGGUGGUUGUGGGAGUCUCCGUGUCUCUGGCUUUGAUAUUCAUUUCCAUGGGGGUGUAUUCNACUGGCACUGCUGCAGGCAUCAUCCCUCGGCUUCCUCCAGGGCUUCAUGGCAUGUGAGCCUCCUGCUGGCACUGUCCUGAGCGUGGCUGGGCAUCACUCACCUCUCACCCAUGCAAACACUCUGUCAGGAACAUCAUGCUUUUCCGGUGC
rnacentral:lncRNA from 1 species